AACUUGCGGAGGGAUCAUU
rnacentral:rRNA from 1 species